GAGUUUGAUUAUGGCUCAGGACGAACGCUGGCGGCGUGCUUAACACAUGCAAGUCGAACGAAAAGACGGAAAGAGCUUGCUCUUUUCAGAAUUGAGUGGCAAACGGGUGAGUAACACGUAAACAACCUGCCUUCAGGAUGGGGACAACAGACGGAAACGACUGCUAAUACCGAAUAAGUUCCAAGAGCCGCAUGGCCCAUGGAAGAAAAGGUGGCCUCUACCUGUAAGCUAUCGCCUGAAGAGGGGUUUGUGUCUGAUUAGCUGGUUGGAGGGGUAACGGCCCACCAAGGCGACGAUCAGUAGCCGGUCUGAGAGGAUGAACGGCCACACUGGAACUGAGACACGGUCCAGACUCCUACGGGAGGCAGCAGUGGGGAAUCUUCCGCAAUGGGCGAAAGCCUGACGGAGCAACGCCGCGUGAGUGAUGACGGCCUUCGGGUUGUAAAACUCUGUGAUCCGGGACGAAAAGGCAGAGUGCGAAGAACAAACUGCAUUGACG
rnacentral:rRNA from 1 species